rnacentral:rRNA from 1 species
GCUAGUUGGUGGGGUAAAGGCCUACCAAGGCGACGAUCUGUAGUGGUCUGAGAGGAUGAUCAUCCACACCGGGAUUUAGACACGGCCCGGAUUCUACGGGAGGCAGCAGUGGGGAAUAUUGGACAAUGGGGGCAACCGUGAUCCAGCCAUGCCGCGUGUGUGAAGAAGGCUUUCGGGUUGUAAAGCACUUUCAGUGAGGGAGGAAAUGGUGGCGGCUAAUACCCGUUACAAUUGACGUUACUCACAGAAGAAGCACCGGCUAACUCCGUGCCAGCAGCCGCGGUAAUACGGAGGGUGCAAGCGUUAAUCGGAAUUACUGGGCGUAAAGCGCGCGUAGGCGGCUAAAUCAGUCGGGUGUGAAAGCCCCGGGCUCAACCUGGGAACUGCAUUCGAUACUGUUUAGCUAGAGUAUGGGAGAGGGUAGUGGAAUUCCACGUGUAGCGGUGAAAUGCGUAGAUAUGUGGAGGAACACCCGUGGCGAAGGCGACUGCCUGGCCCAAUACUGACGCUGAGGUGCGAAAGCGUGGGUAGCGAACAGGAUUAGAUACCCUGGUAGUCCACGCCGUAAACGAUGUCAACUAGCCGUUGGAGGACUUGAUCUUUUAGUGGCGCAGCUAACGCGAUAAGUUGACCGCCUGGGGAGUACGGCCGCAAGGUUAAAACUCAAAUGAA